rnacentral:rRNA from 1 species
UACAGAGGGGGCAAGCGUUGUUCGGAAUUACUGGGCGUAAAGGGCGCGUAGGCGGCCUGUUAAGUCGAACGUGAAAUCCCCGGGCUCAACCCGGGAACUGCGUCCGAUACUGGCAGGCUUGAAUCCGGGAGAGGGAUGCGGAAUUCCAGGUGUAGCGGUGAAAUGCGUAGAUAUCUGGAGGAACACCGGUGGCGAAGGCGGCAUCCUGGACCGGUAUUGACGCUGAGGCGCGACAGCGUGGGGAGCAAACAGG